UCUGCGAUUUAUACGCGAGCGCUCGACAUAAUUCUCUGCAGUGGCGCCCCGGCCAACUCUCUUUAAGACACCGCACGUUAUUAUUAUCACAUAAUAUAAUAUUAUGUUACUGCGGCAUUCAGCUGGACGCAGGUGCGCGACGUGAUGAAUGCCCCGAAAUGGAUCACCGACACGGCGUAUCCCGCGGGGCCCAAAGAAAAGGGGCAAAGGGGUCUUUUUGUUCUUUGCACUCCGCUGUUUCCGUUCGCACGCCGUCGGUUUGGUAAACAGCGAUAUUCUUAACGUGAAGUAUGGAGACGAAUGAGGAUCCAAGGCCUUCGCCUCUCGCUUCGGGUUUUCAACCGUUAAGACUGAAACGUAAUAGGUACAUGGAGAAAGAGCGAGUGGUCGGCGACUACACCAACAGCAGCAGCAGCCGGUCGACGAACAGAACGGCGGCGGCGAUGUCGGCUCACAUCAAACAAAAUUUAGAUCUUCCGCUAACCCCGCGGACGUACAGGCUAAUAGAGGACCCCCCGGACCCCACAACACGCCCCCGCCCGGUGAACACACGCUGUCCGUCGUCUCAUUACGCGUACAUACAUGCGUACAUGCAAUACACAACUGACACAUGAAAACCGAGGAAAAUGCAUCAGACACCAACGAAUAUGAAUAAAAUUUACGUUUAUGUAUAUCAUGGUGUAUGGAAUAUUGUAUUUACCGAUAGGCUUGAAUGUAGAGGGAUUAUUUAGGGCUUGGCUAAUCUAACUUGAGCUUCAGUCUCUCCUCAUUCUCUUCAAAUUUUAAAUAUUAUGUGCGUUUAUACA